UACGUAGGGUGCAAGCGUUGUCCGGAAUUAUUGGGCGUAAAGAGCUCGUAGGCGGUUUGUCGCGUCUGCUGUGAAAACUCGGGGCUCAACUCCGAGCUUGCAGUGGGUACGGGCAGACUAGAGUGCGGUAGGGGAGACUGGAAUUCCUGGUGUAGCGGUGGAAUGCGCAGAUAUCAGGAGGAACACCGGUGGCGAAGGCGGGUCUCUGGGCCGUAACUGACGCUGAGGAGCGAGAGCAUGGGGAGCGAACAGG
rnacentral:rRNA from 1 species